ensembl:lncRNA
GCAGGAGCGCGGGCAGGGAGCGGCGCGAGGGAGCGAGGCGUGCUCGGGAGAUGAAUCAGGAGUUCAGUGGAGAGGAUUAAACGCGAGCCGGCACGAGGCGAGCCCAGAAGCUUGGAGACCCGCAGUUGUUUACACCGACCUUUUAAUACCUUCUUAGCCAGAAAUAGAAGCAGAGGGAGAUGGAGAGAAAAGGUGUAUCAGACCAUUUGCUCCUCCAACGGCAGUUUCGAUAGUUUCUUUCAUGUUCUCUGUAUGUUUAGACUUUAAUUUUAACUAAUGUUCUAAAGCUUUGACCUGUCUGGCUCAUCUAAUAUUAAAAAUCAAUCCCCAAAGUAGCUGAAGACUCGAAGGAACAGCUCGAAAGAAUCAAAUGAACCAGUACCUGCAGAACAAUAGACAGUGCAGUGCGUCUGUUGUCAGGCUGCUGCCUCGUAGAGACCAGGACUCGGCAACGCUGGGUGCAGAGGUGUGCUGGGGGAGGUUAACAGCCGGCUCUCUGGGGCAGCCCUGGUUUGUACUUUUUGCUAAUUUCUAUGGUGUCAAUAUUUUCACCAUGGCUUAUUUCCAUUUACCAGAGUGAUGUCAACUGGCUUGCACAAUUUCUGAAAAUGUAACAAUUGGCUCUUGUGAGCCAGUACUGGGGAGCUCUAGCAUGUCAAGAACUGGGUUCUCUGCCAGCUCUGACACCAAACUAGUGGUGGAACUUUGCCCACCUCACUGGGCCUGGCGUUCCUCAUGGGAUGAAAGGGUUGGAGCUGGGCUUAAACUUUGGUGGUUAAAAAUUGUGCCUUGUCUUGCCUUGGUGGCUUCAGAGAGGAUUCUUGGGGGCUGCUCUGGAAGGGGGUAUUUGGGAGGUGCUGAGCUGUUAGGAUUCUGGCUCUUUAUAUCUUGGAACUUCAACUUUCCAGAGCUGUCCUGACCCUGUCAUAGAGUGUUUUAGAUUUCUGUGUAAGGUACUGUUUGAAGAGAAGCUUCUAUUACAGAGGGGAAAAAAAAAUCAGAAAACUGCUUGAAUAAUUGAUCUUAAAGAGCCUUUUCAUUUAUAAAAAUUGAUGAUUCUGGGGCCGGCCCGUGGCACAGUGGUUAAGUGUGAACGUUCUGCUUCGGCGGCCUGGGGUUCCCCAGUUGGAUCCCGGGUGCGGACAUGGCACCGCUUGGCAAGCCAUGCUGUGGUAGGCGUUCCACAUAGAAAGUAGAGGAAGAUGGGCACGGAUAUUAGCUCAGGGCCAGUCUUCCUCAGCAAAAAGAGGAGGAUUGGCAGCAGAUGUUAGCUCAGGGCUAAUCUUCCUCAAAAAAAAAAUUGAUGAUUAUAUGAAACUAAAAAUGUGAGUCAAACAUCGAUACACCAAUGUCUGUGGACAGUACUGUACUGACAAUGGUACUUUCUCUUUCUUGGUUAAAUCUAAAACUAAACACUGGCUGAAAGAGUCAACCAUGCCUGAGGAAUUGCAUCCACUGAAUUAUAGAUGUUUUUAAAAUGAGAAGGAUCCUAGAGAUGAUUUCCUCCAAGAGUUUUCAAAUAUGCUUGAAGGGUUCAUCAGAGCCCUCUCAGAUGGUGCCCUUGUGUGUGUGUGUGUGUGUGUGUGUAAACACGUGUAUACACUAAACAGGUUGUAAUCCCCUUGUGCCCCCUCCCUUCCCCCGCUGCCAUGCUCUCUUCAACAGAGAAGCAGCUUUUAUGUUUUAAAUAUGCUUCCUAUGUUGUAAACAUUGGGCUUCCAUACAAGACUGCAUUUGAGGAAUGUCUUCUGCUGUGCGGGGUGGGGGAAAUAAGUAAAGGCAUCUGAUUAAUACUAUUUGCUUUGUUUAACAAACCAGAAACCAAGCAUUAAAAGAGUGCUUUAUCCACUAUUCCACAACCAUUAAGGGGUAGACUCAUGUCUGGAAUUCAGGUCUCUAGGUUUCCAGGGCAUUAUUUCUCUUUUUCAAAAGCUUGGCUACCUGGAACCACUACUUUCUAUUAAACGACUCUAAAUAAUAAGUAAUCUAAGCCUAUAUUGUCCAGAAGCGUAGACACAAUCCACAUGUGACUUGAUUGAGAUGUGUUGUAACUGUAAAAUAUACACUGUGUCCAAGUCUUAAUACAAAAGAGUAAUG